AAUCUCCUGAUUGGCUAAGGCUGUUGCUAUGACUUCUGUUCCAGACGCUUCAGCGUCCGCAAAUUAACAGGCACAUAUAGAAAUCUUCCACAAACCUGUUCGUUCAUCAUGUGUCUGCCUAGAACCGUAAUUAACUUAUUUUUAAAUGUAUACUGGAAAUGAUUUUAAACAAGGCGAAACAUUGUGGCAUGGUAUUCAUCGAACCGCCGCACGCAUCGAACAGAUUAAGUAUCAAAACUCAUCAAUAUGAAGAGUGUUUUCACCCUCAUAGACAAUGCUUGGAUGGGCUCAAAGUUGCUGUACAAGUGGCAGAAAUCCCUUGGAAAUUACAUAGCUGUCGCAGGACAAGACAGCUCAGUAAAAAUAUUUGAUCGCCAUGGACACAAGUGGACUGAAAUCACCCUUCCUGGACGCUGUGUGGGGAUGGACUGGGAUAAGGAUGGGGACAUUUUGGCAGUGAUAGCAGCAAAAUCCAGCUGCAUAUACCUUUGGGAUGCCAGUGUUAAUAAAACAUCCAAAAUAGACAGUGGAAUGAGAGAUCACAUGUCUCUCGUUGUGUGGUCAAAAACGAGCCCUCUGCUGGCAGCUGGGACUGCCAAAGGAAACCUGUUAAUCUACAAUCAGCAGACCUCACACAAGAUCCCAAUAUUAGGAAAACAUACCAAGAAAAUCACCUGUGGCUGCUGGAAUGCUCAGAAUCUACUGGCCCUUGGCUGUGAUGACAAUAAUCUGAGCAUCAGCAAUCAAGAGGGGGACACAAUCCGAGAGAUAAAACUGCGUGGUGCUCCUACAGACAUUUACUUUUCCAUGAUGAAGACAAGCGAAAGGACAUCCCAGGGAGAGAACACUGUGAGUGUCUGCGUGGAAAAGAAAAUGUUGGUCCUUUUCAGCGUCAACAACACCGACGACUGGUAUGAGCUGGCGUUUGACGCGAGUUAUGGGCGCAUCGUCUCUUAUCGCUGGUUUGGUGAUGGCUAUAUACUCAUUGGCUUCUCUCAUGGAUACUUUGUGGUUAUUUCAACUCACGUUAGAGAGAUUGGGCAUGAGCUCUGCCAGGCUCGGAAUCAUAAAGACAGUCUCAACAGUGUAGCCAUCUCAUCAGCAUUAAACAAGGCUGCUUCUUGUGGGGACAACAGCAUAAAGAUCCACGAUCUCUCUGACCUCAAAUACAUUAGCAAUGUGAUUCAGCUGGAGGAUGAGACUAAAGGUCUGGACCAGCUGAGUUGGACAGAUGAUGGCCAGUUGCUGGCAGUAUCCACACAGAAAGGCACUCUCCAUGUCUUCCUCACAAAGCUUCCUAUUCUGGGGGACAGCUAUGGAACAAGACUGGCUUACCUGACAUCUUUGUUGGAGGUCACAGUGUCAAACUAUGGGACAACUCCAGUGGCCAUACAAGUAGAAGUAGAACCAACUUUCAUCGCUGUGGGACCCUACCAUGUUGCUGUUGGAAUGAACAACAAAGCCUGGUUCUACGCACCGCUUGAACAAGAAUCUGCUUUUACCAAACUGAAGGAGACUGAGUACUUCGGGACGGUUGCCAACAUGUGCCUUAAUGCAAAAUAUGCUGCAGCAUUGUUUGAUGGUAAAGUGCAACUGCACAUGAUUGAUGGCAGUGAACAGGAGGAGAGGAAGCAGAUGAAGUUGUUUCCAGACGAUGACAGAAAAGGUCGUAUCUUUUGCCACGCGCUCACCGCUGACUUCCUCUACUAUGGCACUGAUUUAGGUAACGUGGUGUGCGUCCUAGUAGAGGAUUGGGAGACUGUGAGCACUUUUAGCCACACUGUGGCAGUGAGUAAAGUUUUCCCUGAUGUAAAUGGUACACGGUUGGUCUUCAUUGAUGACAAGAAGAGCGGCUUCCUGCUCACCCUUUCAAGUGCAGCAGAUUUGUGCCUUGAGCUUCCAAACUUCUCCCCCACCAUCACUGGAGUGCUGUGGGACAACUGGCACGCUGACAGAGGAGUGUUUGUAGCUUACGACGAUGACAAGGUCUACACCUAUGCCGUGCAUAAAACCACCAUAUAUGGCCCGCGAGUGGUGUUAGUGGGGAGUACUCCACUUCUCUCCUCCCAGAAGCCUAUGCUGCUCUACAAUGGGAUGCUGACAUGCCAGACGGCAAGCGGCAAGAUCAGUGAAGUGGCUCUGAGCACACACUCCUUCCUUGAACACACAACAAACACAUGGUCUGGGUCACAGCCAGAACUUGGCAAGCAGCUCAUGCAGGCCCUCCAGCUUAAGAGGUUUUAUGAAGCCUGGGAUCUGUGCUUGACUGAGGGCAGUGAGGCCAACAAGGCAGAGAUCGGGAAGGCCUGUCUGGUCCAUAUGGAGGUCGAGCAAGCCAUCUACUUCUACCGCAUGUGUGGCAAUGUGGGCAUGGUGAUGUCACUGCAGGCCAUCCAGGGCAUCGAGGAUAAUAGCUUACUUGCAGGCCAUUUGGCCAUGUUCCUGGAGGACUUCUGUCUUGCUCAGGACCUUUAUCUGGCCUCAAGCUGUCCCAUAGCUGCCCUGGAGAUGAGGAGAGACCUGCUACACUGGGACAGCGCUCUGAAAUUAGCUAAGGGUUUAGCAGAAGACCAGAUUCCAUUUCUCUCCAAAGAAUAUGCCGUUCAUCUGGAGUUUAUUGGGGACUACAUGAAUGCUCUGGCGCACUAUGAAAAAGGCAUGACUCAUAACAAUAAAUUCCAGGAACAUGAUGAGGUGUGCCUGGCAGGUGUAGCCAGGAUGUCCAUUCGGAUGGGGGACAUAAGGAGAGGAGUGGCACAGGCUAUUCAGCAUCCAAGUAGAGUCCUUAAGAAAGAAUGUGCAGCCAUACUGGAAAGUAUGAAGCAAUUGUCUGAAGCUGCUCAGCUCUAUGAAAAAGGACAAUGCUACGACAAGGCAGCAUCGGUUUAUAUUCGCUGUAAAAAUUGGGCGAAGGUGGGAGAGUUGCUGCCUAAUGUCACCUCUUCCAAGAUCCACCUGCAGUAUGCUAAAGCCAAGGAGGCGGAUGGCAAUUAUAAAGAGGCAGCACAAGCCUAUGGGAGCGCUAAAGACUGGGACAGCGUGACUCGUGUGCUGCUGGAUCACCUAAAAAAUCCAGAAGGUGCUGUUCGUAUUGUCAGAGAGACACAGAGCAUUGAAGGAGCAAAGAUGGUGGCCAGAUUCUUCUUGUCGUUGAAGGACUAUGGCUCGGCCAUCCACUUCCUGGUGCUGUCUCAGUGCAAUGAUGAAGCCUUCCAGCUUGCACAGCAGCACAAACAGAUGGAAGUCUACGCGGACAUCAUCGGCUCUGAUGCAACACUGGAGGACUAUCAGAGCAUCGCUCUAUACUUUGAGGCAGAGAAGAACCACCUGCAGGCGGGCAAAUUCUUUCAAAAGUGUGGACAGUACAGUAGAGCGUUGAAGCACUUCCUGAAGUGUCCUAAUACGGAGGACAGCCUGGCUUUGGACAUGGCCAUUGAGACAGUGGGCCAAGCCAAGGACACCUCACUGACUAAUUUACUAAUAGAAUACCUCAUGGGGGAGAGUGAUGGCAUCCCAAAGGAUGCCAAGUACCUGUUUCGGCUCUACAUGGCAUUGCAGCAGUACAGGGAAGCUGCUCGCACUGCUAUCAUCAUAGCCAGGGAAGAGCAGAAUGCAGGUAACUACCGUAGCUCCCACAACGUGCUGUUCAGCAUGUACACACAACUGCAGGCCCACAAGAUAAAGAUUCCUGCAGAAAUGGCCACUAACCUGAUGAUCCUGCACUCCUACCUGCUGGGAAAAAUCCAUAUCAAGAGAAGAGACCACCUUAAAGGGGCACGUAUGCUCAUUCGUGUCAGCAAAAAUAUCAGCAAGUUUCCUGCACAUGUUGUGCCCAUUCUUACAUCGGCGGUCAUUGAAUGUCACCGAGCUGGAUUGAAGAACUCCGCUUUUGGCUUUGCCGCCAUGCUCAUGCGCCCUGAGUACAGAAAUGAGAUACACCAGAACUACAGGAAGAAGAUUGAGGCUAUGGUUCGGCGUCCAGAUGCGACGGAGUUGGAAGAGGAAACUACCCCGUGUCCUUACUGUGGCUUCCAGCUUCCACAGAACGAACUGCUGUGCAUCUCCUGCAAGAACAACCUGCCCUAUUGCAUCGCCACAGGUCGUCAUAUGCUGAAAGAGGACUGGUCUUUGUGUCCUCAUUGUGAAUUUCCUGCACUCUACUCGCAGUUCAUCCUGUUACUGGAGACUGAGACGGUGUGUCCCAUGUGCUCAGAGACUCUGAGUGCCCAGCAGGUGAAGAAGAUCAACGAUUGUUCUGUAUACUUGCAGACUGAUCAAGUGGAUCAAUGAAGCACAAAUAAUAUCGUCAGCGCCUGGCAAUGGAAAAACAACUGGGAGGACGGACUGAUAAGCAGCAGCCUCAAGAAGCCCCACUCAGGCCUCCUCUGCACGCUGACCACUCCUAGUUUUCAGUCGGACAAUUUACACUAUGAGAGCGACAAAAGAGAAGCGCUUCACUACAGGAAGUCGGCGCCUGGAGAGAUUUUUUUUUAAGUAGUCAAGCUUCUGGAUGGAAUCUUACAGUGAGAUGGUGUUUGAGUUCACGGCACGAUCAGUUCAUUGAACAGUCCUCUCCCUCCGUAUCUGUGUCUGUGUCCGAGCAGGCGGUGUCCAUAGCGACGUGGGUGGGGCUUACAAUGACAGCCCGUCUCUGCUCCUCCUCUGCGCUCGCUCUCCUCUCCUGAGUGCGCUCGAUGUGAUGGAAUUGCCUAAGAGGAAUAAAUGGAUGAUGCAGCAAAUAUUCAAAUAAGCCAGAAACAGCUUGAAAUUAGACUCGCUGGCCACAAUGUAAGGUGCACUUCCACAAUCGAAUGAGAUUCAAUACAAGAGCUGUAUUAAAAUAAUUGUCUUUACAAAGAUAAUAAUGGUCAGUUUCGCUUGAUUUUACAAUAUGAUUAUUGUGGUUGUAGUUAUUAUACUGUUUCGAAUACUUGGUUACAGUAUAAUAUUGUACACCAGGGGUAUCAAACCCUUUGUCACAGUCCACAUUGUAGUUGUGGUUUCCAUUAGAGGGCCGUUAUGAUUGUGAAACUAUAUUGUAAAUGUAUAAUCAAACCACAUCAUCAUAUUAUUACAAAUACAAAACAAAGUGAAGGAUAGUUUGGCAACUAGAAGUCACAGAAAAUAGCGUGUACAGCACAAUGUUAAUAAAAGAUAAGACACUUUGUAAUCUUGGCACAAAUUUGAGCAAGAAAUAUGACGUGGUCGCAGAUGAUUUGCUCCGGUGGGCCAGCCAGAUAUGGCUCUUGAGUCGAGUCACCUGUGCUGCAUACUGUACCUAUGAUGCAGCACCGUUAUAUACCGCUACAAAUUACAACAGCAAUUACAUUAUAAAUUAAAACCUCUUUGACACGAAACUGAAUUAUUGUUUUUUUUUUUAAGACAGAAGAUUUUGAUACAGCUCGUGUAUUAAAUGCCGAUCGAUUGUGUAUGUAUUGUGUACAAUCUAAACCAUGCAAAGGACAUACCUGCACAAUGGUGUCCAGGUUUUGUCUUGACGUGGACACAGUGCUGUUGUGGACAGACGAGCUCAUGGUUACCACGGUGACAUGGUGAUGGGGUUGCUGGAUUAGUGUUGGCGCUGGCACGAUGACUGUCGGGUGGUGGGUUGAUGCGAGGGGAGUUGGAGAGGCCAUCACCUGGAGACGCAUACAAAUCACCUUUGUUACAUUGAAGGCAAACACAACGGGUCACUUCAACAAUUCAAGUGGUAUACAGGUGGACUUGACUUAUGUAUGAAUGUGUGUGGGAGAGACCAACCUUCGGACUGUGAGGUGGUCUGUCUGCAGCUUGGAUCUGCUGCAGCCGUAACAACGUCUGGCUCUGGAACUGUGCAUGCUCCUCCUCCACCUGCUGGGUGAUCACCUUGAGAUGAUCUGGGUGCCCCUGGGUGUCCAGAGAGCGUACCUGCAUCCAAACACACAAACAACCCAUAGUGUUUUGACCGUGCCUGCCCUGUGCUAGGUGGUGGCUCAACUUCGAACUAAACCCAUUGUACAUGGAAAAGAUGUCGGUUAUUAAAUAUAGACAAUACGAAUUGACAAAAACAAAUCUAAAUGUCUAUUUUCCAAAUCACUCCCGAUCCACAAUUUAGUACACCAAGUGUGUUUUCCAUUAUAUAGUGAUUUUUGAAUGCAUGAUGCCGACACAGAAAAACAAUUUUCUGUUUCUGUGGCAUAGUUUGAUUUUCAUCACAAGACAAAUUCAUGAGUUGUGGUGCACAACUAACUAUCUUUAAUAUAAGUAGAGCAACACAUCACAACAUGGAUGGACAAAGUGUUUUGUUUCUAUUAUAUAUGUAAACUAUAUUCUGCUUAAAACAAUUUGAUAAUUUAUUUGUUCAAUAUUGAUUACCAAUUGUAAACCAGCUGACGAUUCACUACGAUGUAAUUACGUGACAGCAAUGGUGUAAUUAAAGGCGCGCCUAAAUAUUUUUCAAAUAGUUUUUUUCAUUGGACUGAUAUAUAUACACAUUGGACUAUGUUCAGUGUGUAUAUUUACCUGCUCCUCCAGCUGUAUGCGAGCAGAGCGUUCCCGGUCCAGCUGCUGGCGCAACUCGAGCAUUUCCCGCCUCAGUUCCUCCACCUUCUCCUCAUCUAGAGUGUCAGGAGAUCCAAUGCCUUCAUCCUUCUCCUCUGCUCGCCUCCUCUUUGGCGAAGAACCACUGAACUCCUAUGGUGACGUUGUGGGGCCAGGGCGAGACAACAGUCACACACCUUAUACUAACUUAAAGCAACAAGGAAAAAACAAAAAAACUACAACUGUUUCAAAAAAGGCCCAGCAGUGGAUGUACUUCCUGCGGCUUCUGAGAAAGCACAGCCUUCCACAGGAGCUGCUGAGGCAGUUCUACACAGCGGUCAUUGAAUCAGUCAAAGGACAAACUCCGACUGCAACGGACAAUCAAAACUGCUGAAAGGAUUGUCGGUACACCCCUACCCACCCUUGAGGACUUGCACGCUGCCAGAACUAAGACAAGAAUGUGGAAAAUCCUCUCGGACCCUCCACAUCGGGCCCGGUCCCUCAGAGCAGAAUUUAUGGUUCCAUCAAUCACAGCAAGUUGUCCAGGUCCUGAAGGAGCAAGCAGCCCAAGACCAUCACACUACCACCACCAUGUUUGACUAUAGGUAUGAUCUU